rnacentral:rRNA from 1 species
AGAGAGAGACAUGCGCGCAUAUCAAUAAGCGGAGGAAAAGAAACUAACAAGGAUUCCCCUAGUAACGGCGAGUGAAGCGGGAAGAGCUCAAAUUUGAAAUCUUAAAGGGCUUCCCUUUACGAAUUGUAGUUUAAAGAAGUAUUUUCUGUUGAGGUUUUGGUAAAAGUUCUUUGGAAUAGGACAUCAUAGAGGGUGAGAAUCCCGUAUUUGACCUUUACUUUCAACUUUGUGAUACACUUUCAAAGAGUCGGAUUGUUUGGGGAAUGCAGUCCAAAAUGGGUGGUAAAUUUCAUCUAAAGCUAAAUAUUGGCGAGAGACCGAUAGCGAACAAGUACCGUGAGGGAAAGAUGAAAAGAACUUUGAAAAGAGAGUUAAACAGUACGUGAAAUUGUCAAAAGGGAAGCGUUUGACACCAGUGUUGUUUUUCUGAAAAUCAAUUAAAGAACUGUUUAUGCUAAGUUGUCUAGACUUUAUCAGCUAACUGUUUAGUUUUGAGCUUUUCUUUAAUGCACUUUUCAGUUAACAAGUCAACAUCAAUUUCUUUUGCUGUAAAAAAGCUUGAGGAAGGUGGCUUGAGAUUCGUCUUAAGUGUUUAUAGCCUCUUGCCUAUGCAGUCGGAGAGAUUGAGGUCUGCAGCGUAGAUCCUUCGGGGCUAAAUGCAUUUGUGCUAAGUUAUAGCAUUUUAUAGACAACUUGUUGACUAUGAUUUGUCUUGUAGCUUACUCGCUUAUGUUAUUUUACCUACGCUUAGGAUGUUGAGCGCAUGUCUCUCUCU